rnacentral:lncRNA from 1 species
CUCAAGUGCUGUAAAAAAAAAAAAACACUGGCUGAAAAUGCUAAGGGCUUUUUAAUGCAACAUGCAAAUAACAUUUGAGCAGCAGAAGACAGCUAGAGAUAGGAAAGGGCACUUGCGUCAGUCCAUUUUAGAAAUCACAGUUCAGGAUCGACCAUAGCUGAGCAGCUCUGGUGCACUUAGUGCCCUUUGAACCUGUUAGGUUAUUGCAGCACCCUAUAUAUGAGUAGCACCUGUCUUCUCUGAGACACUUGUAAUGCUGAACACAACCAAAGUGGCAGUGAGAAGAUGUGUCACCCACAACAGAAUUUGUACAUAUACUAAUAUAUGCCCUGUUAUUCCAUAAGUUCCAUCACAGAACUGUAAAAGAUCACAGUUUUGGUACCAGCACUUCUCAGAAAGGAUGGCAGGAGAUGUGCAAGGUGUUUUUGGUAAUGCAGUUACUUGUUUGGCAUUAUACCAGCCAAAAGAUUUUUUUAUUUCUUCCUGCAGCCAUUCACCUCUAGCUCCCGCACCACAAUAACUGGGUGUGUGAGGCAGGCAGCCACUGCCUGAGUGCAGCCCCAGAGGCAGGAAGCCUCUGGCAGCACCCCACACUGCCCUCUCCUGUGGGGUGAUGGCCACUGCUGACUGGCUCUCAGUUGGGCCCUUCCAGGUCAAGUGUGCAGUGACAUAGGCUAGCGAAUGGGAUCCCAGAUACCUGGCUCACAGCCCCAAGAUUACAGUGCCAUCACAGUGCCAUCAGCUGAAAGAAGAGGAAGAAGGAAUUUCCUCGCUUUCUUAUCCAGACCUCUGUGGGACGGCCAAUGUCAGCUGGGAUUUUCAAUCUGCUUUCAAGGCAUCUGUAAAUUUUCUGUCUAUACAUUUUCUCUGGAAUUCUGUGCAGCAGUAAGAAGGAAGUUGCUAAUUCUAUUUUACAGUACUGACCAGCUUCCAGCUUUGCAAGCCAUUCAUCUGGUCUCUCAAAAGAUACUUCCUGCAUUACUCCCAGUAAACACCAGCCAUGUCAACAGAUGCUGAUAUGGCCAUCUUUGGGGAGGCAGCCCCCUACCUCCGAAAGUCAGAAAAAGAGAGAAUCGAGGCCCAGAACAAGCCCUUUGAUGCCAAGUCAUCAGUCUUUGUGGUGCAUGCUAAAG